rnacentral:rRNA from 1 species
AUGAUUGGGCCUACUGCUAGGGAAGAAGAAGAAAUGAUAGAAGCAAAACAACAUGACCAACAGCAGCUCUGUAAUGUCAGUCGGGCAUUGGCUGUGCUGGCAUCUGCAUCGUCUAUUAGCAAGGAGCGUCAAGAGUUCCCGAGCCUUGUCAACAAGGAGAUAAAACUACACAACUGCAUGCUUGAAAGAGAAGACACAGAGGGGGCAGAAGAAACUAAGAAGGCAUAUAUGGCUGCUAGAGGAGUCAGACGACACCACCGAGGUUGCUUCAGAGGAAAAAGUCUCGUCAGCGCUGAUUGA